AUGGAGGAGGUGCGGCCGGCUAUCGCUCAGCGUGCCUCGACGAUCGCCGAGUGCACUGACAUCAGCGCCUUUGCUCCUGAGAUAAAUGACGACGGUGUUGCCCAGCCGGAGGAAUGGUUCGGGCUAGACCCGGCAGAGGGUGAGGACUCGGCGGAGGAGAUCGCUUCUAGCGAUGAAGGUGAAGAUGAUGAAGGAGAGGAAGGCGAAGACGUCGAGCCGGCCGGUGAAGCGGCCAGCCAGCCUCAGCUUGACCGUGCCUCCAGCAACGAGGCGCGUGCUAGUGUGCCCUCUGCGGGAGGUGGUGAUCAUGCCGAGGCUCGCCAUCCGGCCACUCCUCCAGCCAGCACUACCGUCUCUACCGACCUGCCCGACUCGCAAGUCAUUCCCUUGGCUUAA
rnacentral:rRNA from 1 species